CCCUGGGAAAAACUCUUCAAACAGACAGACUUCUAUCAUAAUACAGGAAGACAGGAAGUGACCCGGGUGGGAACCAGAGGAGUGAACCUUCACCUCUCACUUCCUGUAAGGCCUAGUCUGAAAAGGAAAGCAUGGCAUGGUGGAGACUCUCUGUAUUCUCCUGGAUGGAUUCUCCUGGAUUAAAGAUGGGCCGCCAGCCGCUAUCAAAGCUCCUGACCAAGACUGACAACUGGUGAAUGGAAAAACCGGAAUAAGCACUUGGAAGAAGAAAACCAACAACUGAGACAACUUGCCUUUGAUUUGCCUGGCAUAAUGGAUACUUUAAAACUACAAGAGCGCAGCUAAUAGCACUGAACAAUGAUGGUGGAAGUUCAUCCUGUGUGGGUGUAUCGUGUGCAUCACCUUCUGUCCCGUCUGAAGAGUUGAGCUCAUCUCCUUGUCAAGUGUCGUACUCAGGGCCUAAACAGCUGCUACUUUGGCAAAGUUUCCUGGGACUUCAUAAGCUGUGAUCAGUGACGCUGUUACGAGAAAAAUUGCGGCGUUGAAAUAUCACCUGAAGGGAAACAUCAGGAACCUCAGCAGAAUACCACAAACUUUUAUGUCAUUGUCAUUUACCAUAGUUAACACCACUUUCUAUUCCCUGUGUUGUAGUUUUUGUAUAUUUACAUGAUAAUAAAGUUGUGUGUAUUGUA